rnacentral:rRNA from 1 species
GACGAACGCUGGCGGCGUGCUUAACACAUGCAAGUCGAACGGGAAGGCCCUGCUUUUGUGGGGUGCUCGAGUGGCGAACGGGUGAGUAACACGUGAGUAACCUGCCCUUGACUUUGGGAUAACUUCAGGAAACUGGGGCUAAUACCGGAUAGGAGCCCCUGCUGCAUGGUGGGGGUUGGAAAGUUUCGGCGGUUGGGGAUGGACUCGCGGCUUAUCAGCUUGUUGGUGGGGUAGUGGCUUACCAAGGCUUUGACGGGUAGCCGGCCUGAGAGGGUGACCGGCCACAUUGGGACUGAGAUACGGCCCAGACUCCUACGGGAGGCAGCAGUGGGGAAUAUUGCACAAUGGGCGGAAGCCUGAUGCAGCAACGCCGCGUGCGGGAUGACGGCCUUCGGGUUGUAAACCGCUUUCGCCUGUGACGAAGCGUGAGUGACGGUAAUGGGUAAAGAAGCACCGGCUAACUACGUG